CGAAUAUUCCGCAAUGCACGCAAGUGUGACGGAGCGACGCCGCGUGUGGGAUGAAGCGGCUCUGCCGUGUAAACCACUGUCAGGAGCUACUAAGCACUGAAGGGCUCCAAAGGAAGGGCCGGCUAAUCUCGUGCCAGCAGCCGCGGUAAGACGAGAGGCCCGAGCGUUAAUCGGAAUCACUGGGCUUAAAGGGUGCGUAGGCGGACCCGUAUGUGUGCCGUGAAAUCCCUCAGCUCAACUGAGGAAUUGCGGUGCAAACGGCGGGUCUUGAGGCAGGUAGGGGCUGUUGGAACGAUCGGUGGAGCGGUGAAAUGCGUUGAUAUCGAUCGGAACGCCGAAGGUGAAGACAAGCAGCUGGGCCUGUCCUGACGCUCAGGCACGAAAGCGUGGGGAUCAAA
rnacentral:rRNA from 1 species